GAUCAGUGCAACCCACCCAAGGUGAGUAACUCAGAAAGAGGGGGGAAAGCGAGCCAGAAAGAGCCGGCACCGGAUCAACCAUUGGGGGCUUCUCACGCGCGCGCUCUCCACCCCCCACCCACCCCAUUAACCCAGUUUUGUUAAAAAGGUGGUGGGGGAGGGCAGGAGAGCAUUCUAAAGUGGCAAUGCAAGAGGAGGAGGACACACGCGGAGGGGAGGGGGCGCGCGGACGAUCCAACUCACCCAGGGUCGUGCUGAGAGUCAUUGGGGCUCCCAGAUAUCGCUUGGCUCCCUUCCGCCUCCAUGGCUGCAAACGAGAAGAAGGCUCAACCCCGUGGAGAGAGAGAAAGAGAAAGAGAGAGGGGGAAAGAGAGAAAAUAGCCCCCACCCUGUAGAAACCCCCCACCCUCCCCCCUGGUUCUUUCUUUCUCCACCCCCCCUUUUUGCCCCCUUUCUCUGAUCACUUCUCUUCCUUUUAUCUUUCUUUUCCCUCUUUCUCCCUCUCUCUCUCUCUCCCUCUCUCUUUUCUCCCCCCCCCCUUUUCCCCCCUCUCUCCUCUUUUUCUUUUCUUUUCCUGCUACCGGCGAAUAUUACUGGCUGGAGGGGAGGAGAGGGAGAGAGAGAGAGAGAAGCCGGGGAACCAGCCAGAUCCUUUCACACGUGGGAUCAGCUUAGCUUAGCUCAGCUCAAGCUCCUUGCUUUCUCUCCCUCCUCCCCCCUCUCCUCUCUCUCUCCCUUCCGCGCACGGCCAUCCUCCCCUUCCAGAGCCAGCCAGCCAGCCAGCCAGCCUUGCUCCCUCCCAUCCACCCCUCCUCCCCCUCCCGGGGACGCACGUGGGGCGGAGUUCUCAGAACGUACAGUAACCGAUUCGGGAGACGUCACGAGCCCCGCCGAGGCCCCGCCCCCUUCCCCGGCUCCCGCUUCUCUUCGCCCCGACACCCGCCCACCGCUGGCGCUCCAAGCGCAAGGAGCCGGGCGGACGCAGGCAGCCGGAUUCCGCCCGGCAGCCUGGCUUGACCGUGACCUGGAUCCUUUGGGGCUGAUAUGACAUGCGCCGCCUGCGCCUGGCAAAACAGCGCUCUCGCUCGCUCUCACGGAAUGGCGAGCCGGACAGACCCACUACCUUGCAGUCCCCUCCCCAGGUUUCUCCCGUGGUGGAAGCAGGUUAGCCGUGCCUUUUAGCUCCUAAGGGAGAAAACGCGGGUGCUGUCAGGGCAGGACUUGGGGCAUCGGCCCAGGGCCCCUUGUCAGCAAAAAUGAGCAGGGCUUCUUCCGCAUAACACACACGUAAUUAUUAUUGUUGUUCUGUUCUGAAGUGCCCUGGGAUCUUCAGAUGAAAGGCAGUAUACAAAUUAUUAUUAUUACUAUUAUUAAUGUAUUGGUUGCUUCUUUACCAAUGUAACUCAAUAUAUAAACAAACAAACCCAUGCAUUGAAACGGCCAUAGAGGGAAAAGCCUGAAAGACAGUCCUGUUUUUAAAAAACAUCCCAACCCAUCAAGGAAGCCACAGAUGAUUAAGGGCCUGGCAAAAAAGAAAUGUUUUUGCCUGACUCCUAAAGUUAUGUAAUGAUGGUGCCAGGAGAGCCUCGCAAGGGAGAGCACAGGCGGAGAGCGACCCCUGAAAAGGCCCGUUCUCACAUUGCCAAAUGCACCCUCCGAGGACCUCCCAAAUAGCGGGCAAACGAAAAAAGGCCCACAGACGCCACAGGCGUGCCUAGGGUCCCUGGCACCAUUGGCAAGGAGCUGUAUUGGCACACAUGCAUACAAAAAAUAGCCACCGCAAUAGCCACAUUAGAAAUUACUGCAAUUUACGUGACCAAAGUACUUGAAGCGUCCUGAGUAAGGGUGAGGUGAGGAAGGGCAAGAAAAUUUGCAACGCCUUUGUGCCACGGUGCAAGAUGGAGGGGAAGCUUCCCCUGCGUUUGAUCUCGCCACAAUAGUGGCAUCGUGUUGCCACACACAUGUGCAGCAUGUACUCCACACCCUUACAGGUUAUUUUUGCGUGCCCCUGCCCCCCUGGGCUUGAGUCCCCAGUGGGGGCUGGCAACACCAUUGAUGAGCAUACAAAAGCUUCAUUAUAUACUGGAUCGGAUCCCUAGUCCACCUAGCUCAGUGUCAUCCACACACUGGCAGGCAGCAGCGCUCCAGGGUUUCAGACAUCUCUCCCAGCUCCACCUGGAGAUGCUAUUACGGUUUGAACCCAGGACCUGCAUGCAAAGCAGCUGUUCUGUCCCUGAGCUGCAGCCCUUCCUUAUUGCAAAGAAUCAUCCUGAGAUUCCAGUACAAGAUGUAGAGCCCAAUCCUAUGCAUGUUUGCUCAGAGGCUAUGCCAGGCGUAGUUAAAUAAAUUGGAAUAAUUAAGCACUCCCCUAUUGGGGACUGAAGUUUAGACCUUCUGCAUGCAAGGCAGACGUUCUACCACAGGGCUAUGGCCCUUACUCUUAAAACAUAGGAAGCAGCCUUGAACCAAGUCAGAACAUUGGUCCCUAUCGCUCAGCAUUAUCUUAACUUCUCGCCAGGAGCUCAUCAGAAUUUUGGACAAGGAGCUUUCCUAGCCCUACCAGAAGAUGCCAGGGACUGAACUUGGGACCUUCUGCAUGCAAAGCAGAUCCCACUGAGCUCAGGUUUCCCCUGUGCUGAAUUUUAGUUUAAGUUCCUCGUUGCGGGGGGGCGGGGGCGGUCCUGCUCUCUUGUACAUUGAUAAUGUUGCAUUUAUUUUGCCUACUUGUAAACAAGUGCAUUUAGUGGGAGAUCUGCGAUGAUGUCUACUGAUGUUUUCAUUUUUAUUCUAAUGCAGCUUGGGGUGGGGUGGUACUCAGAAUUUGGUUGGAGCAGCAAUCUGCUUCUUUUAAAGAGGGAAUAUGGGACAAACUGAUUAUUAUAGGAUAGCACCAGUGGCUCUAGCCUUCCUUACAAAGUGCCCAUGGGAAGGUUUGCUUUUGAAGGGGAGAAGGAACACGGGGAAAGGCAGAACGUGCUUAACCCUUCAACUAAAUUUCACUUUUCGCUGAUACUGUGUGUGUUUGGGGACUGUGUUUCUCUUAUAAACAUGCACCUUGACAGAAGCAGCUGAGGGAAGAGUUUUGGGGAGGGGAAACUGAUUGCAGGGACAGGGCUAAGCACCCCCUUCCAUCUCCUCUCUUCUGCAAAGCAAGUCAUAACCUCCCCAAGGCUAUUUUGGUAGGGAAGAAAGUGGGGGCCCUUGGGGAUUUGUUGUUGAACGCGGCUGCACCGUAACAUAUCGUUUGCUCCUUGGCAACAAAUGGGAGCUGGUAGCUCAAAACGGGAGGAACAGUAGGGCUAUAAGAAAAUAAAAAUACCUGCAUGAAAUCUGUGCUUUGGCUUACAUGACUGGCAGCGACCCAUUCUGGAAAAGACAUUCAGAAGAAACACUGAAUAAAGGCCUUGGGGAGGGGGUCUCCAUCCCGUUCAUCAUCUUCCACCUCUCCUUAUUCAUAUCUUCUUCCUUUGUGCCCCUGGAACAGACAGAAAGUAAUCCCACAAAUUGCAUUAUGCCGAUCAACUUCUCUCCGGUUCCUGGUUUAAAUAUAAUCACAUUGGCUGGAGUGGUUGGUAGCGGAUCACAACCGUAAAAAAUGUCCCCCAAAAGGCCUGAUCCCAUAUGCCACUCGGUGGGACUCCUCACUUUAUUCUCCGCGGGGGCAAUUUUGCUUGCAGGUGAUUCUGUAAAUGAAGGAAACUUGAAAGAGGCUGUGCUUUUAAUCAGAAUUUUUAUUUUUGCCUUCUCUUUUAAAAAAAAUCUAAUUGUAUUUCCCCACCUUCCUCAAAAAUAAUAAGAACACUGCUACUACUUGGUAGGAUAGGGACAACUCGCUUCAAAUGAGCAAAGGCAGGAAAAGGAGGAGCUGUUUAUAAUGUCUUACAAUGUGGCGCCAUUUCAAGGUCAAGAGAGGAUUUUUAAAAAUGUGUCACAAUCCUCCCAGUUUAUGGAAGACUCCCAUGCAAAGAUUUAGGACGCCUCCAGCCUUCAUAAAUAUGGGGAUGAUGAUGAUGAUGAUUCUAGAGCAUCACACAUCCAUCUUUGGAUUUACGCCUCUUCAACUUCUCUCCAGUAUUCUCUGUUUGCUUCCUGCACCCACAUGGUGUCAUUAUAUUUCUUUAUAUCUCACAUUUCCCCCAGACUCAAGGCUGCUUACCAGAAUCAAAACAACAUGGACAAAAUAUGAAAAGCUGAAAGCAUAUUUUUAAAAAAUUAAACAAUGUUUACAAGUAAUUAAACUAUAAUACAAUUAAAACAAUAUAAAAACAAAUAUAUUGAAAUACUAGUAAAAACAGCACAGAACUAUUAAAAACAGCCAGUUCUCAAAAGCCUGUUGCAAUAAAGUGGUCCUCUACCUGCCAGAGGAAGGACAGCAAGGGAUAUCUAGUGCUGUUGUUAUUGCUAUUAAAAUAAUAAUAAUUAAUAAUAAUUUAUUAUUUAUACCCCAGCCACUCUGGGCGGGUUCCAACAGAGUAUUAAAAUACAAUAUUCUAUUAAACAUUAAAAGCUUCCCUAAACAGGGCUGCCUUCAGAUGUCUUCUAAAAGUCUGGUAGUUGUUUUUCUCUUUUACAUCUGGUGGGAGGGCGUUCCACAGGGCGGGUGCCACUACCAAGAAGGCCCUCUGCCUGGUUCCCUGUAACUUGGCUUCUCGCAGCGAGGGAACCACCAGAAGGCCCUUGGCACUGGACCUCACUGUCCAGGCAGAAUUAUGGGGGUGGAGACGCUCCUUCGGGUAUACUGGACCGAGGCUGUUUAGGGCUUUAAAGGUCAGCACCAACACUUUGAAUUGUGCUUGGAAACAUACUGGGAGCCAGUGUAGGUCUUUCAAGACCGGUGUUAUGUGGUCUCGGCGGCCGCUCCCAGUCACCAGUCUAGCUGCCGCAUUCUGGAUUAGUUGUAGUUUCCGGGUCACCUUCAAAGGUAGCCCCACACAGAGCGCAUUGCAGUAGUCCAAGCAGGAGAUAACUAGAGCAUGCACCACUUUGGCGAGACAGUCCGCAGGCAGGUAGGGUUUCAGCCUUUGUACCAGAUAGAGCUGAUAAACAGCUGCCCUGGACACAGAAUUGACCUGCGCCUCCAUGGACAGCUAUGAGUCCAGAAUGACUCCCAGGCUGCGCACCUGGUCCUUCAGGGGCACAGUUACCCCAUUCAGAACCAGGGAGUCCUCCACACCUGCCCACCUCUUGUCCCCCAAAAUCAGUCUUGUCAGGAUUCAACCUCAGUCUGUUAGCCACCAUCCAUCCUCCAACUGCCUCCAGAUACUCACACAGGACCUUCACCACCUUCACUGGUUCUGAUUUAAAAGAGGUAGAGCUGGGUAUCAUCCGCAUACUGAUGAACACCCAGCCCAAACCCCCUGAUGAUCUCUCCCAGCGGCUGCAUGUAGAUCUUGAAAAGCAUGGGGGAGAAGACAGAACCCUGAGGCACCCCACAAGUGAGAGCCCAGGGGUCUGAACACUCAUCCCCCCCCCCCACUUUCUGAACACAGCCCAGGAUGAAGGAGCAGAACCACUGUAUAACAGUGCCCCCAGCUCCCAGCCCCUCUAGACGGUCCAGAAGGAUGUUAUGGUCGAUGGUGUCAAAAGCCACUGAGAGAUCCCGCAGAACUAGGAAACAGCUCUCACCUUUGUCCCUAGCCCGCCGGAGAUCAUCGACCAGUGCAACCAAAGCAGUUUCAGUCCCAUGAUGAGGCCUGAAUCUUGACUGGAAGGGAUCCAAAUGGUCCGCUUCUUCCAGGCCUCACCUUGCCCAAUAAUGGAAGAUUUGAGACUGGGCAAUAGUUGGCCAUAUUGGCCACAUCUAAAGAUGAUUUUUUAUGAAGCGGUUUGAUAACCGCCUCUUUCAGUGGACCUGGGAAGGCUCCCUCACAGAGGGAAGCAUUCACCACCCCCAUAGAGCCCAUCACCCAGCCCUUCCCAGCUAGAUUUUAUAAGCCUGGAUGGGCAAGGAUCAAGGAGACAGGUGGUUGGUUUCACUCGUCCAAGCAGCCUGUCCACAUCCACAAAGGUAACAGAUUGGAAUUGAUCCCACACAACUUGAUUAGACAGGACUCUAGCACUCUCCACCCUGCUCCCACGGGGGAGUCUACCUCUUCCCGAAUCUGAGUGACUUUAUCUGCAAAAAACUUUGCAAAAUCAUUGCAGAAGAUAAUGUGGCCCGUAAUGGGUCCUGAUGUAGCUGGUGAUUCCUCUAAAUUGUGAACCACCUGGAAGAGUCUCCUGCUGCUGUUUUCUGCGGAUGCAAUAGAGGCGGUGAAGAAAUGCAAUGCAAGAACUUUUUCUCCAACGUGGGGCUCGAACCCAUGAGCCUGAGAUUAAGAGCCUCAUGCCCUACCAACUGAGCUAUCCUGCAAUGGACACUUGAUGACUUUAAAAGAGGAUUAGACAAAUUCAUGGAGGAUAAGGCUAUCAAUGGCUACUAACCCUGAUGGAUAUGUUCUACCUCCAGUGUGGGGGACAGUAUGAUUCUGAGUACAAGCUUGCUGGAAACCGCAGGAGGGGAAAGCACAAUAGCGUUCAGAUCCUGCUUCCCCAUACGCAUCUGGCUGGCUACUGAGAAAACAGGAUGCUGGACUGGAUGGGAAUACCUGCCUGCCCUCAGCAUGACAGCCAGCAGAUGUGCCUGUUGGAUAGGCUACCGUCCCCUCCCAGCGCCUAAGAAAGUUGUUGAACUUUUAAAAAAAAAAAAAAAUCAGACUUUUUUUAAAAAGUAUACGGAAGGACAGGUUUACAUAUUCCCUCAUGCAAACUCCCUCUCUCCCUCUUCACUUCCUUGCCAUAAAAGCAAUCUUUUUAAAAUUGACUUUAGGAGUGAAAUUAACUAGGCCAUGGUAAUCUGGUCCAGUCAAUCAACUUUCCAACAAAGACUCCUGAAAGCAGUUUACAAUCAAAAUGAAUAGCACACAGUAAUUUGUCCUUGAUUCAUAAUUCUUUUUCUUGAGAGCAUUGCAUACGUAUGAUGUGGGAGGGUGGGGGCUAGCCUUUGUGCUCAGCCUGAAAUCAUGGUUAAACCCUAAGCUAGCCAUGGCGUCCAAAGAUGGUCAUGGCAUGGCAAGAUAUCUUUUCUCAACUAUGAAUCAAAUGCAAAACUGACUAAGGAGGAAGGUGAAGGCCUGCUGAAUAUAUAUGUUUAAGAUUGGGCCACAAGUCAAUGAGCAUCAAACAGAAGAUCUUUCCGGUGUUUAAUGAAUAGGGUGGAGAUACGGGGGGGGGGGGGGGAUCAAAAGUGUUUUCACACCAUGCUUAAAAAUUAUUAUUACUAUUAUUUAAACUGUAUAGCCUGCCUUUCUUUAGAAAACAAAAAUUCAGUGGGGCUAACAGUUGGUAAUUAAAACAGACACAAAAGCAUUACAAAUAACAUGAAAAGGAACAAUUAAUGGGCAGUCAGAAAGCCAGAAAAAACUACAUUAGGAAAGGCAAUCAUCCAUCUCUAAAAGCCGAGUCUAAAAGCAUACAUAUUCUGAAAAGAAAAAGGAAAUACGCUUCUUGUUCAAAACUAUUGUUGGUACCUAUGCAGAAAUUUAAUGGGUAGAUGAUUUGAGAAACAAAAUAAAACUAAUAUGGUUCAACCUUCAAACCCUCUGUGUUUGUAUUUCACAUAAUCAUAGAAUCAUAGGUUGGAAGGGAUACCAAGAGGCAUCUAGUCCAACCUGCUGCAAUGUAGGAAAUGGAAUCACAGCUAAAGGAGGCCUGACAGAUGGCCAUCCAAACUCUGUUUAAAAGCCCCCAAUGAAGAAGAACCCACCUCCUUGCAAGACAGUCUGUUCCACUGUUGAACAGCUCUUACCAUCAGAAAGUUCAUCCUAAUCUUUGGUUGGACUCUCCUUUCUUGUAACUUGAAUGCAUUGGUUUGGGCACUAACUGCCAGAGCAGCAGAAAACAAGCUGGCUCCAUCUUCUUGAUCAUCUUGGCCAUCCUCAUCUGCAGGAAUUCCAGUUUGGCUAUACAGUAUACUUCUUAAACUGUGAAGCCCAGAACUGGACACAGUACUCCAGGUGGGGUCUGACUAAGGCAGAAUAGGAGUGGUACUACCAUUUCCCUUUAUUAUACAUAUAGCUAAUUUAAGAUGUUUCUUAGGAAUGUAAGGUAAAUAGAUUUAUGGGAAAGUAUAUAUUUAUAAUAUGUUAGAAUACAAAUGAUACGAUGAUGUCCUUUUUCUCUUCUUUCUUGUGAUAUAACUUACUAUAUGGGGCAGUAUUUUUAUUUAAUAACAAUGUUUUUUUUUAAAAAAAAACACCUCAUGAUUGAUCAGCUAAAAUCCAGCUGCAGCCCUAGUAAGGACGUAUAAGCAGCCAAGCUGGACUCAAAGGCAAGUAAAUUUCUCACCCCCGCCACCCCCCAAAAAUAAGGACAACACAAUGCAGGAUAAUGCUAUAGGUUAUACCCAACAUUAGUCAUGCUCAGAUUAGACCCAUUGAAAUUAAUGGACCAGUGUUACUCAUGCCCAUUAAUUUCAGUGGGUCUAUUCAGUGUUGACACCGCAGAACAGAAGAUAUGUAAUUAUCCAAACGAAGCAUCAAUAUUUCAGGUCAGGGUUGCGACUGUUAUCAAGCAUCGUUUUUAAUUUGAACUAUAAUGUUUGAUCUGUCUUUCAUGCAUGCCUCCUUGAGCUACUUGGGGGGAGAGGUGGGAUAUAAAUAUAAUAAAUAACUAAAUUAUUUUGCUGGAGGGCAAACAUCUAUGAACAUAAAAACCAGCCUUACAGAGUCACAGCAGUGGCCAAUCUAAAGAUCAUAAGAUGAGCCCUGGUGGAUCAGGCCAAAAGCCCAUCUCCAGCAUCAUUUCUUCACAGUGGCCAACCAGAUGACUUUGGGAAGCCUGCAAGGAGAACCUAGAUCCAAUAGCCCCACUUGUGAAUCUGAUCAACUGGUAUUCAGAGACAUAUAACCUCCAAAAGUGCAUGUAGGACAUAGCCACUGAGGCAGCCAGCCACUGAUUGCCUUAUCUCCAUGAAUUUGUCUACUCCUUUCUCAAAGUCAUCCAAGUUGGUCACCAAUUGCUACAUCCUGUGGGAACGAAUUCUUUAGUUUAACCAGGCACUGCAUGAAUAAUUACUUGCUUUUGUCUGUCCUGAAUAUUCCACAUCUAGCUUCAUAUUGGUUGUAAGCAACCUACUGCCUUUCAGAUGUUUGUGCUCCAUUGGCUGUGGCCAAUGGAAGUUGGGGCCCACAACAACUGGAGGGCACCACAUUGGUUAUAAAAACAUGGAGAAGUUUGGCUUAGCUAUCUCUUUUAAGAGACCCAGUCAGCUUCCCCAGAAACAGGCAUUUAUAGAAUCCUUCAUGAUCCUUUGACAUCUUUUGUCUCCUUUCCCCCUCAUCCUGGGAGAGAUUUGACUGCCUGUAUUGUUAACAUUCCCAUAUUAUUAUAAGAUCUCAUCUUAUAAUAAUGUUUUGAACAUUCAGUGCUCUUUUUUCUUUCUUUUCAUUUCCCAUUUAAAUCAGACUAUAUUCCAAAGCCGACUUUUAAGCCUUGCCGAGACCUCUGCCCUGCCAACAAGCGCUAACUGAAAAGGCACCACCAGUGUUAUUUCCAGCCAAAACAAUGUCCAAUCAAUCGCAAAGACUGACUGCCGCUCAGCCCUGUGCAGAACACUGGUUCAACUGCACACACUGAACCCCAGUGGGGUAAUCAGGGUUUUUUAAACAGAUUUGCCAACUGCACGAGCGCCCUGUCUGACACGGAAAAAGAAAAAGGCGAAGGAACACAAAAGCGUGCUUUGCUCCUUGUUUACAGCCUGCAUCAGGGGUACUCCACAGGAGCCUUAUCUACCACCCGGCAACAUUUCAUAUUUUAAUCUGCCUUAGUUCAAUAAUGAACAGGUACAAAAAUAUUUACAAGGAUGCAACAAGGCAUUAAACUGCCUAAAGAUGAAGGUGUGGAAGACAAGACUCCAGCUAAAAGAAGAAGGUCCUUUAAUAUGGUUUGGACAGUUCAUUUUAAGUAUGGAAAUUGAAUGCAUUCCAACCUUUCUAUAAUUUGCGUGCAUG